GCAGAGGCCUUCAAAUGCUCCAAUGCAGACCACGGAUGCUCUUGUGUCCAAGUCCCCUUCUGUGCUCAGUGUGCUGAGAAAUGGGUGUUCUUCAGUGACAGUGAAAGAGGUCAGCUGCGAGACGGUGCAUUAGCUGGGUGAUCGCCCUAAGUCUCAGUCUUUCUGCCUGGAAUUCAGGGAUGCCGACAACCUCAUGAGGCUGUACUGUGAAUGGCAGAAGACACACAGGCUCGGCACAGUGUCUGGCACCUGGGAACAGCUAGGUCAGUGCCCGCUACUGCUGCAUUCAGAUAGUUAAUAAAAGGCACUGACUGGGCCAUACUGCAAGUACUUUCAGCAAUGCCAAAACUCCCUUAGCUUAAAGAGAGGAAAGGAAGAGGAAGAAAACCCUCUACACUCAUCCAUCAAUUGUUGAGAAUCCACUGUGUGUCCAUUAAGUCUAAGGUCAGUGUGAGCUGCUCCUGGGAAAAUGAGGCACAGGGCACCUCCUGCCCUGGGGACACAGAGUUCACAGGCUAAAUUGUGACGCUGGUUGAGGAAAAUGGUGUCUUGGAAGCAAAGAGAAAAGAGGAAGUGAACUGGGAAGGCAGUCUCCAGGGAGAGAGAGCACAGAGAGACAGUGCAGUGUGACCUAGUCUCUCCCGGAGGCAGGGGGGGGCGGGAGGUGCCAGGCCAGGCCUGAUGGGGGCCCAGCUCAUGGCACCAGCGAGGCUGUUGGGUCUUGUGUUUUCAGGUUACCAGGCCAAUUCCACAGCCCUGCCUCACAGAAAAUCCCCUCUGGCAAAAAAGAAAAAAACAAAAAAACACAAAAUCCUGGGCCAAAGAGGGGAAGGUAAAGUCUGUGCAGAAUUAAAAAAAGCCAAAUCUGGGCAGAGAAUACAAGUUGUGCCCUAUUAGCAUUUUUAAAGAAGAAAGUAUUGGCUUCAACAAUAGACACUGUUUUUCCAAACCCAAAGCCACCCAAAAUCUUCUUAAAUACGAAGCCACAAACUCUGCAAAUCAUUAUACCCAGUAUUAAAUAAUACGCAGGCCUCCAACUUUCAGAUUACCCUCGGGAUAAAAGAGAUCACUAAUUAUGCCAGUGACAGGAAGCCGACUGCAUGGUAUACGUGUCUGUGUGUGUUUGCCUAUCACGGGGAGCGGACAGGGAGCAACAGGACAAGAUAUCCUGAGAAAGAAGUGAAAUCAAAGCUGACUUAACCUGGAACUUUGUGGUUAUGCAAACACAACAGUGAUUUCCAACCCAGUGAAACUUGGCACAGAAAACUCAAACUUUUCGUAUUAGGGCCAGAGAAUGACUUUCAAAUUUCCCAAAUGCUUCUGAAGUAUUACAGUUGUGUUUCCAGUUAUCCCUGAUGACACAUUAUGUUGAAAUUUCUACUUUAAGUUCAUAAAGGUUUAGUGCUAUGUUUUCAAAAAGUAAAAACAAAUGAAAAGCCAGUGGACUGGGAUAAUAUUCCAUCUGAAAUUUCAGCACGUUAGUGGGCUAAGGGUGACAGAAAGGAGAUGGGUGAGGAGGUGUGGAGUCCUGGGAGGAUGUGGUGGACAAUGAAUGAGUUCGGCCAAGGAAGACUAGGACCAAGGGCCAGAAGGUAAGUGUGAUCAUAGUGCAAAGAUGAGGGUUGAUUAACUAGACAUGUAUCUUGUCUUAGUUACUUCUCAUCACUGGGACAAAAUAGCCAACACUCACAAUGUAACGGAGGAGAGGUUUACUUUGGCUUGCACUUUGUGGAGGUUUGAGGACAUUGUCAGUUGCCUCCAAGGCAGGGCAGCAUGGCCAGGGAGGCCUGCUGAUGGCAUGGCAGGAGAAAGCAGUCACCAAUCAAGAGAGAAGGUGGGAUACACAUUUCCUUCCAGGCCACGCCCACACAGAUCCCCCUCCCAAUCGGCUUCCAGCUAUGAACCUAUCACAUCCAGUGAUGAGAAUGACAUUGUUAUGAUCCAGUCACCUCCCAAAAGCCCCACCUGUGAGCCCACGAGGCCUUGGGGGGACACCUAGACAUAAGCCAUAAAAUAUCUAAAGUCUGGUUGGAAAGGAGGCUCUGGCUAUAGUGGUGUACAAAUUCCCAGAGUUAAGGAUUAGGCAGACAGAAGGUGUAAGGUCCAUCAGUGGAUAUUAAAAAUCUAGCCCAGGGCAACUAGAGGACAGAGGGGUGCAGACUCAGCUGGUACAAAGGCAGGGUGGAGGCUGGUUUCUGGGCACUAGUCCUUGUAGUCAGUCUUGCAGUCAGGAAGGACAGGCCGGAAGGUGAGUGGGGAGGGAUGUGCAGUCCUCAUGUGGAGGGUGACAGCGAGCAGGCUCCUUCUCAGGGAGAGACGGAAGGUGGAGAGUGGAUGCUGAGACACUCCAACAGAAUGGAGUGUGAUCUCUGGUUGAGAAGAGGAGGCAAGAACAGAGCUAUAUGCAGAACACUGCAACCACCUGUGUGCUGCUUCCCAGGUAGGUAGUGAGCAUUUACCUGAGCGAUAAAUACACUCCUGGAUGGAUGAGACUCCCCUCAGAGGGGCAGUGAGUCUCAAUCAGCCUACCUCGGGUCACACGUGUUCUGGGCAUCACAGAUGGCACAGCAUUUUGUGGUACUGCAGGGAACGUGCUGGUCAUGCUGGGGGUUGUUUGGGAGUUUAGAAAAAGCCAGAAAGGAUAUACAGAAGACAAGUACCAGUUGGAGUUGCUUUUCAUGUCAUACCUGCUUUCAAUCUGACACACACACUGGGGGACCAGAACGAUGUGCCAAGUAUCCUCCUUUGGUUGGAAAAAACAGGCUGUAAACCUUGAUCCAUUUGCCUGUGCACUGCCUCUCCCUGAUAACCCAGGUGAUGCAAAUGCAAGAUUUCUUCUGCUAGCCAAGGAAGGCAUUUUUGAUGUUUGAUGGCAGCCCAAAGUUCCUAUUUACACCGUAAAAUCACUGAAGGUGACCACUUGCUUCUCCACCAUUAUCAAGCAUAUUUUGCUCCUGACCAUUCAUAAACCACCACCAAGUGGCUCUGCCCAAAACAGCACACAGAAGAAUGCAAUGUCCAUAUGGAACACAAACCAGGACUGCCUGGUGGGCACUGAUAAAGGGGUGACCUGCGCUGACACAGCUGCAUUCCCAGUGCAGAUGCCAAGAGCUGACCCUGUGUACAAGUGGGAGAAAUCAGUCUCCCCAGUAUUUUUAAUCUUAAAAGAGAGAUGGGGGUAGGCAAAGGUGACUUAGUCUCUCUUCAUUUUAAUCUGGCUUUCAACACAUUCUUUCUAGGCAGGAAGUGGAUGCUUGGUACGUUUCAUCUCCAUUUCCCUGCCUGUCUGACCUGCUACCCCUGGCUAUUAAUCUGGGACCGCAGCGGCGGCUGGGCAGAUACACAAGGCGGGCCCUCCCAGAAAUGCUGGAGGAAGCCCAGAGCUGAAACCAGCAGAAUACAAAUGAGGGCGAUUUCUGCCUGGUGAUGGAAGUGUACUGAAGCCGGGCUCUGAGAGGCUGGAAGACAAGCAGUGUAGUUUCUGCAUGCAGCUCAGCUCAGCAGAACAAGUGGCUGACCUUUGGUAGGCCAGCGGCCCCGCAGGGAAGCCGUCUUCUCUCGGAAAAGCCCUCGGAAUGAUAAACUCCCAGUGUGACACAGGAUUGUGGUGUGUGCAUCGCAUGGUGGCCUUUCGUGGCUCAGGUCACAGCACACCAUGCAGGAAUGGCGAAACUGUUGCUGACAGAGAACAAGAAAUUCAUGUGCCGGGGGAGGGCCAUCUCACGGUGGGAUCAGCCUUGAUCUGCAACCGGAUUACAGGGGCCUUAGAAGUGGCUGAUUAAUAAUUCUGCAGGAGCCCUGAGCUGGAAAACUGCUACGUAUGUCGAUGAAAAUGCCCUGACUGGCUUACCUUACCGUGUGAGUGUUAUGGCUCUACAUAGCAAUAACAGCAUGUCCACAAAAGCAAGUCACAGUACCCUUACACAUAAGUCGGGGCUGUCUGAACUGCUGGGUUUAAAAUCAUCAUUAGUCAGCACCAAGGUGCCUGGGAGCUUAUGAAGACAAAGCAAGGCAAGAGAGAAUUCUCGCUGCUUCUCAUCUGCUGCACACAGGAGCUGGUGGCGGGAGGGAGUGCGGGUCCCAGGAGGGGCAUGCUGGUGGUCACCGGGGACCCUGGGUACACACAGCAGUGGAGUGUGAGGAGGACGGCACAGGCACUGACCCUCACACCUCCCACCGCUGUAGCCCAGGUGGGAGCUGGGAUUAGCUCUGGAAGGCCUCAGGGAGUCCUGGGGAAAGGUGCUAUGAAGGCUCUCUGGGGAACAGGGCAGGUGACACAGAGGGGAGGGGUGGGGGUGGAGGGCCCAGCUGUGGCCAGGGAUCAGAUGAGGACGCCUGGCUGACCUUUCUGUUUUGGGCUGCACCACCAACUGCUGCCUCAAGCCCGAGGAAUCCCGAAUCCCUCAUCUUCUCCCUCUGAAAGUAACUGCUACUUUCCUGUUUCACUCUGUGGGUGGCUCCUCCAUCUCAUGACGGCUAACAUCUGACCACCUGAGAAUUACUUUGGACUACUCUUUCCUUUUCCUGAACAGUGUCUGAGCUUUUCCACUGCACCUACAAACUAUUCAAUUGUUUAUUCCCUAGUCAUCUAGUCAUUUUGGACAAAAUAAUAAUAAUAUUAAUAAUAACAAUAAAUAUUUACCACUCUAUAU